CCUACGGGUGGCAGCAGUGAGGAAUAUUGGUCAAUGGACGAGAGUCUGAACCAGCCAAGUAGCGUGAAGGAUGAAUGCCCUAUGGGUUGUAAACUGCUUUUAUAGGGGAAUAAAAUGUUCCACGUGUGGGAUUCUGUAGGUACCAUAUGAAUAAGGGUAGGCUAACUCCGUGCCAGCAGCCGCGGUAACACGGAGGUGCCGGGCGUUAUCCGGAUUUAUUGGGGUUAAAGGGAGCGUAGGUGGUUUUUUAAGUCCGUUGUGAAAGUUUGCGGCUCAACCGUAAAAUGGCAGUUGAAACUGGCAGUCUUGAGUACACUACAGGUGGGCGGAAUUCGUGGUGUAGCGGU
rnacentral:rRNA from 1 species